rnacentral:rRNA from 1 species
GGCGGCGUGCCUAAUACAUGCAAGUAGAACGCUGAAGGAGGAGCUUCGUUCUCUGGAUGAGUUGCGAACGGGUGAGUAACGCGUAGGUAACCUGCCUGGUAGCGGGGGAUAACUAUUGGAAACGAUAGCUAAUACCGCAUAAGAGUAGAUGUUGCAUGACAUUUGCUUAAAAGGUGCAAUUCGAUCACUACCAGAUGGACCUGCGUUGUAUUAGCUAGUUGGUGGGGUAACGGCUCACCAAGGCGACGAUACAUAGCCGACCUGAGAGGGUGAUCGGCCACACUGGGACUGAGACACGGCCCAGACUCCUACGGGAGGCAGCAGUAGGGAAUCUUCGGCAAUGGACGGAAGUCUGACCGAGCAACGCCGCGUGAGUGAAGAAGGUUUUCGGAUCGUAAAGCUCUGUUGUAAGAGAAGAACGAGUGUGAGAGUGGAAAGUUCACACUGUGACGGUAUCUUACCAGAAAGGGACGGCUAACUACGUGCCAGCAGCCGCGGUAAUACGUAGGUCCCGAGNGUNGUCCGGAUUUAUUGGGCGUAAAGCGAGNGNAGGCGGUUAGAUAAGUCUGAAGUUAAAGGCUGUNGCUUAACCAUAGUACNCUUUGAAACUGUUUAACUUGAGUGC